rnacentral:hammerhead_ribozyme from 1 species
GCACUCCUGACGAGUCCCAAAUAAGACGAAACAGCUGUACAGUGC